UUCGACCAAGGUUCGAUUCGAGCGCAGCGAGAAAGCGUUGCCGCAGGCAACGACCCGAAGGGCGAAGCGCGCAGCGCUGAGUCAUCCUUCCCCCACCACCA
rnacentral:sRNA from 8 species